AGGACGAACGCUGGCGGCGUGCUUAACACAUGCAAGUCGAACGAGAUCCAAGCAGUGGCAACACUGUGGAAGAUCUAGUGGCGAACGGGUGAGUAACACGUGAGCAACCUGCCCCGAAGAUCGGGAUAACAGCGGGAAACCGCUGCUAAUACCGGAUGCCCCCAUCGGACUGCAUGGUCUGAUGAGGAAAGGAUUCUGCUUCGGGAGGGACUCGCGGCCUAUCAGCUUGUUGGUGGGGUAACGGCCUACCAAGGCAACGACGGGUAGCUGGUCUGAGAGGACGAUCAGCCACACUGGGACUGAGACACGGCCCAGACUCCUACGGGAGGCAGCAGUGGGGAAUCUUGCGCAAUGGGCGAAAGCCUGACGCAGCAACGCCGCGUGAGGGAUGAAGGUCUUCGGGUUGUAAACCUCUUUCAAGCAGGGACGAUAAUGACGGUACCUGCAGAAGAAGCUCCGGCCAACUACGUGCCAGCAGCCGCGGUAA
rnacentral:rRNA from 1 species